GUUCGAUUCAUGGCUCAAGAUUGAACGCUGGCGGGAUGCUUUACACAUGCAGUCAGACGGCAGCACGGACUUCGGUCUGGUGGCGAGUGGCGAACGGGUAGGUAAUGUAUCCGGAACGUGCCUAGUGGCGAAAAGGGGGAUAACUACGCAGCGUAGCUAAUACCUCAUGCGCCCUUCGAGAAAGCGGGGGACCUUCGGCCUCGCUGCUAAUAGGCGGCCGAUAUCGGAUUGGCUAGUUGGGUAGGGUAACGGCUCACAAAGGCGACGAUCCGCCAGCUGGUUUUGAGAGGACGACCAGCCACACUGGGACUGAGACACGGCCCAGACUCCUGCAGGAGAGCAACAGUGGGAAUUUUGGACAGUAAACCACAGUCCAGCCAUCCCGCGUGUGCGAUAGAGGCCUUGAGUUUACCGCUGCACAACAGAAAACGCCUGAGAUAAUGCCCGAAAUGCGGCUGGCCGACGCCUGGGGGCUCAUACCGGCUAACUACGUGCCAGCAGCCGCGGUAAUGCGUGAAAUUACGCAUUAAUCAAGGUCUGAUAAACAUCGCGCGACGGUUCGGAAAGAAAGAUGCCAAAAUCCCGAAACGCUGGAACUACGCUACCAAACUAAAUGUGUCAGGAGGUGCGAUUCGCGAUGUAGCGGUGAAAUGCGUAGAUAUAAUGCGGAAGGCACUACCGAUUAAGCAAUGACUAUCCUCACGAAGAUGUUGCAACAUGCGCCACUUUAAGUCGGAGAGCAAACAGGUUGAAUCUCUGGUAAUCCACGCUUACCGGCGAUAUCAGCAACUGUUGAGACCUUCGGGCCUUAGUAGCGCAACUAACGCGUAAGUGUACCUGCAAGGAAGUACGGUCGCAAGAUUAAAACUCAGGAAUUGACGGGGACCCGCACAAACGGUGGAUGAAGAUGUGGGUCGAAUUCGAUGCAGCGCGAAAGAGCCUUACUGCCGCUUGACAUGUCUGGAAUCCCGAAGAUUUGGGUGCUCUCAAAGGCGGGCACGGUGCUGCAUGGCUGUCGUCCAGCCGUGUCGUAGAAUGUUAGGUUAAGUCCGCAACAGGCGCAACCCUUGUCAUUAGUUGCUGCGAAGGGCCUCUAAUGCGAACCCUCAAAUGACAAACCGGGAAGGUGAGAUGACGUCAAGUCCUCAUGGCCCAUAUGGGUGAGGGCUACGUCAUACAAUGGUCGGGACGAAAGAUCGCCAACCCGCGGGGGCCAAUCCCAGAAAACCCGAUCGUAGUCCGGAUCACCAGUCUGCAACUCGACUGCGUGAAGUCGGAAUCGCUGGUAAUCAUAUGCAGAUCAGCAUGUCACUUAUUGAAUACGUUCGGGUCUUAUCCCACCGCCCGUCACACCGUAGGAAUUAGGUUUUAAGAAGUAAUUCAACCACAACUGCAUCGAGGCAUUCACAGUAGGAUUCAUGACUAAGAAGAGGUGAAGUCGUAACAAAGACAG
rnacentral:rRNA from 1 species